rnacentral:rRNA from 1 species
GAUCAUGGCUCAGGAUGAACGCUAGCUACAGGCUUAACACAUGCAAGUCGAGGGGAAACGACAUCGAAAGCUUGCUUUUGAUGGGCGUCGACCGGCGCACGGGUGAGUAACGCGUAUCCAACCUGCCCGCCACUUGGGAAUAACCUUGCGAAAGUAAGACUAAUACCCAAUGAUAUCCAUAGAAGACAUCUGAAAUGGAUUAAAGAUUUAUCGGUGAUGGAUGGGGAUGCGUCUGAUUAGCUUGUUGGCGGGGUAACGGCCCACCAAGGCGACGAUCAGUAGGGGUUCUGAGAGGAAGGUCCCCCACAUUGGAACUGAGACACGGUCCAAACUCCUACGGGAGGCAGCAGUGAGGAAUAUUGGUCAAUGGACGAGAGUCUGAACCAGCCAAGUAGCGUGCAGGACGACGGCCCUAUGGGUUGUAAACUGCUUUUAUAAGGGAAUAAAGUGAGCUACGUGUAGCUUUUUGCAUGUACCUUAUGAAUAAGGACCGGCUAAUUCCGUG